GACGAACGCUGGCGGCGUGCUUAACACAUGCAAGUCGAACGGAAAGGCCCUGCUUUUGUGGGGUGCUCGAGUGGCGAACGGGUGAGUAACACGUGAGUAACCUGCCCUUGUCUUUGGGAUAACUUCAGGAAACUGGGGCUAAUACCGGAUAGGAGCUCCUGCUGCAUGGUGGGGGUUGGAAAGUUUCGGCGGUUGGGGAUGGACUCGCGGCUUAUCAGCUUGUUGGUGGGGUAGGGGCUUACCAAGGCUUUGACGGGUAGCCGGCCUGAGGGGGUGACCGGCCACAUUGGGACUGAGAUACGGCCCAGACUCCUACGGGAGGCAGCAGUGGGGAAUAUUGCACAAUGGGCGGAAGCCUGAUGCAGCAACGCCGCGUGCGGGAUGACGGCCUUCGGGUUGUAAACCGCUUUCGCCUGUGACGAAGCGUGAGUGACGGUAAUGGGUAAAGAAGCACCGGCUAACUACGUG
rnacentral:rRNA from 1 species